AUAAGCACCAUAGAGAACCUACAGGCCAGCCUGUACAAGAUGGAGGUGGUCUCCUGUGGCAACGUAACUGACAAGGGUGUCAUCGCCCUGCAUAAACUCAGGAGUCUAGAGCAUCUGUACCUCAGCGAUCUGCCAGGCGUGGUAGAGAAGGAGAAGACCGUAGAGAGACUCCAGACAGCUCUACCUGGGCUGGACAUAGAGCUGGACCUGGUCUAACUGACAGACUGAGGAUGAACCCACAACCACAGGCUGUGACUGACAGACACAGAGGACCAGUCCGCCACAGUGGGUAGUGUCAUGACGACCAGAAGAUGCACGUUGUCUUGUAGCAACACAUUGUAGCACAUAGUAAAGUGUUUUGCAACAAAUUUGACUCAAUGUUUUGGUCCCCCCUUUUUUUUUUUUUCUCUCCCGUUUGGUUUCUAGUGAACACGACCGUGGUCGCAGAUCUGUUCGUGCCGUCUCGCCAUGGCCUCCUAUGGGUUAUGGUCAUUGGCAUGACCAUAGGAGUUGGCAAGACUGCACCAACACAUCUGGGACCAGGCUAGUGGGACACGGGACAAAUGAGAUUUACCAUCGCAACAUGUUUUCAACUGGACUUCAUUGGUAUUGACUCCAAAACAUAAGUAUGACAGGAAUUGUUUUCCUUAAUGUUUAUUAAAUAUGACUUCAUUAAAAAAAAAAAGUACAUAGACU